ensembl:lncRNA
GCGAGAUAAUCAGAAGCACAGUAAAGCAGCAGCAUGCGUCGAACGAAGACCUGAGCAGCAAAGACAUAUGUUAGACUACUCUUUAUAGAGCAGGUGUAGGCAGGUGAUUGGUAGCUGGUGAUUGGUGAUUGGCGGCCAGCCGCGCGUGAUUUGAGUCCUCCUGGUAGAACUACCAGCAAGCUUAACAUUUGUGUGUCCAUUGAAAUGUAUUUUGAGAAGAGAGUAAUUUAUAUAUGAAUCACAAAAUACAUUUGUGAAUCCUUCGCUGUGUAUUCUUUAUUAAUGAGACUGUUCUGAUCCCAUAGUACUUGGAGAAUUCGGUGUAACACCGGCAAGUCUUUUGUGGAAGCAGUGACCAAUCCGACGACAACAUGCUGACUGGCUCUAAAUCUGGCUGUCCCUCAUCCCAGAGGGCCACAGCCACCCGGGAUAAUGGAUUUGAAAAAGGAAAUGUAUGAUGAACACUCUGGGGAACCGGAGGAAAAGGUACCGCAUGACACGAGAUAAAGACUAUUCGUAACAAGAACAUAAUAACCAUUAGCCUGCACCCAUUUAUUUUUAACUGUAAGCUAACUAUUUUCUUACAUUUGUUUUGCACAAAGUAUCUAAUUUCACAGAUCUAUUGUAUUGUGAAUACUCUCUGCAUUCCUGCUGUUAAGUUAUUUUGAAAAUGUUAUUUCAUUCAGACGUCAUAAUCUGUUUCUUCCAUCACAUUAUGUUUCUUACGUAGGCCAGAGAACUGCACGGACAUCAAUUUUCUUACAAGUAUGGGAAGGAAGAUCUGUAUAAUGUUGUAUGCAAGAAGGCAGGGACUAUGUAUGAAUCACUUCAGACCAGUGAUAGGUUUAAAGACAAGGCUUCCAAAAACCAAGGCAACGAUCUUGUUAUUUUAACAUCUAACAAAAGAGCUAUUAGUAUGCAUUUUCCAUGCCACAAAUUGACCGAGAUUGGCAUUGAAACCCUGGCAAUUAUGUACAUCAGAGAACCAGACAACCACCACAAGCAGUAAGGACAAAAAGGAAAAUCGUGGAGAGAUGGUAAUAUUUGAUGUGAAAACUGGCGGUACUAACAACUAAGGUUAUGAACAAUUUUGGGCUGAGAAAGUUAGUGGAUGAGGUUACUGUGUAUGGAUACAAAGGUCAAACAGUGAGAGAAGUGCUGGAGCAAGAUGGACGUUUUAGUGACGAGGUAUUACAAAUCAAUUACUCUUGCAGGACACAGAGGAUAGUAAACAUAAGGAAAUGUCCACCCCUGCAGAUUUUCUUGAUGGUAGAUGUUUCAAGAUAACAAGAGGUUACUGCUUACAAACGCAAUGGUAGUUAAACGUCCGUGCGUGGUUUACAACAAACAUAGGGUCUUUCAUGAUAACGCCACACUUACUUAUGGAUAUUAGCUAUUAGGCUAUCACCCGUAGUGAUAAAGAAGGGGUACGAGUUUUGUAAAGACUAAUGUUUUGGUUCAUUGUUGUUUUUUAUUUGUUUUUUGUAUUAUUUUUGUGCAAUAUAUAUGCUGGUGUCAUCAGUCUCUUUUGUAACGAUGAUUUGUAUAUGUACCCGAUUAAUGUGUUAAUAAAGAAUGUCAUGUAUCGUAUGUUAAA